AUUAAUUAAAAUGAAUUAAUCCAACAAAAGUUCAAUUAAUUAUUAUUCAAAAAAACAAAUGAAAAUAAGUGACAAUUUUGAUUUAUUUAAUGAAACCGAUAUGCUCAAAACCGGUUUGUACAUGAUGACCAUAUGAUUGAGGUCAUACGCAAAAUCAUAACUCGGUGAAAAUGUACAAUUAAUUUUAUUGGAAUUUUCGGGCGGCAUAACGACAUGAAAUUGUCGAAUCCAAGAAUAAAACUCUGAUUUUACCACAGAAAAACAAUUUUGCAUUAUUUACAACAAUAUAGAAUUAUUUUACUAGAUGUGUGGAGACUCAUAAACCAACUAAAAGCAGGAUGGAACCCUUAUUAAACUAUUGAACACAACAUAAAGUUUCUAUAAAGCCAUGAUAUGCUAAUAAAACUAAAAUAGUGUAUGAACAAAAACCACAUAAUUAUCAUGUACUAUUUAUUCACAGUAUCCAUAACAAUAGCAUACGAAGUGAGUUGCAGGAUUUCAAUUCAUAAUUCCCACAAUAACAAUAUAUGCCAUAUCUCAAUGAUCCUGAAACGUACAAUAUUUUAAACAGAGUUAUCAUCAUCAGUUAAAACAAUAGAAAUCAAUUCAAGCAUAUAAAACUAAGGAACACUAUAUCAAUAUAUAUCUACAUAAAGUCCUAAUUAUGUAAUCACUAAUUCAUAUAUUAGAACUUCAAAUUAAAAUGGUAAAUAUUUUACAGAGGGUCCAUCCACAUAUUUAAUCCAACUCUCACAACACAAUGCAAUGAACAUAACAUUAACACUGGCAGCUCAUAAUUAUCUACAUAUUAAAACAUAUAAAAUGAAUCAACCAAACUAAAGCAAACUUCAUCAAACUAAAAUAAAUCUAAGCAAACUAAUAUUAUGACUAUUUACAAAUUAUCUACAGAGUAUCAGUUAAAACAUGAUAAAACAAUCACAGUCCAAUUUAACCAAAAUUUAUAUUCCACGACUUUAACACGAUUGAACUUGAGAUAAAAAAUUUACCGGCUACAAAAUUGAACUUGUCGAGUCCAGCCCAACUAAUGCACGAACAAAAAUCAACAUAUCGCGGAAGUUGUCGUGUGUAUCUAUGAAUGAGUCUUUGUAGAGGGAGAUCGUAGGAGUUGCAGCUCGGAGCAUAUAUGACGGAGGUCGGCGUUUGGAUAGGUGGUAGCUAUGUUUCUUCAUUUUCUGGCGGUAGCGGAAGAAGUCGGAAGAAGGUUGGAAAGAUUAUGGAAUGCGCAACGGUGGAGGUUGUCGGCGGAAGGGUGUGCCGGUGAGCGGUUGACGUGCGUACGGAAGGAGUCCGUCGCCGAAUCUUGUUGUUUUGAGGGUGGUUCUUGUUGAUUAACGGUUUGUUUUCGCGGUUUUGAGUUUUCGACGGUGGUGUUUGUCGACUUUAGCUCGCGGCGGUUGGAGAAGGAUCUUUGUCGGCGACGUGUGUUGUGUGGUUGUUUGAGUGGUGUAAAGGUUGGUUUUGAGAGUGAAUCGGAACGGAGAGGAAGAUGGACGGUUGAUGGUGAAGGGUUGUACGGCGAUUUUGACGGUGGAUGGAGGGGAGUGGUAGUUUUCGUAUGGGUUUGUGAGAUGAAGACAGAUUUUUUUCUUCUUUUUUCUGUUGGAGUGAGCGUGGAAGGGAUCCGAGAGAGUGAGUGGAGUGUGAGCUUUUGAGGUGUGAGAGAUGAAAGGAAUUUUUAGGGAUGUCUCAGAGAUUUUUGUGAGAUUUUUAUGGAUUUGGUGGUUAAGUGUGAGAGACGUUGGGAGUGGAUUUGAGAGAUUUUUAGAGUGGAUUUUUGUGUGGAUUUGGCAGAGUGGGAUGAGUGUGGUUAUGAGUGGCCUCACGCGCGUGUGUGCUAG
rnacentral:lncRNA from 1 species